UGGGGAAUAUUGCACAAUGGGGGAAACCCUGAUGCAGCGACGCCGCGUGAGUGAAGAAGCAUUUCGGUAUGUAAGCUCUAUCAGCAGGGAAGAUAAUGACGGUACCUGACUAAGAAGCACCGGCUAAAUACGUGCCAGCAGCCGCGGUAAUACGUAUGGUGCAAGCGUUAUCCGGAUUUACUGGGUGUAAAGGGAGUGUAGGUGGCAUCACAAGUCAGAAGUGAAAGCCCGGGGCUCAACCCCGGGACUGCUUUAGAAACUGUGGAGCUAGAGUGCAGGAGGGGCAAGUGGAAUUCCUAGUGUAGCGGUGAAAUGCGUAGAUAUUAGGAGGAACACCAGUGGCGAAGGCGGCCUACUGGGCACUAACUGACGCUGAGGCUCGAAAGCAUGGGUAGCAAACAGG
rnacentral:rRNA from 1 species